GAUGAACGCUAGCUACAGGCUUAACACAUGCAAGUCGAGGGGUAACGAGAGGAAAGCUUGCUUUCCUUGUCGACGACCGGCGCACGGGUGAGUAACGCGUAUCCAACCUGCCCCCAACUAGGGAAUAACCUUGCGAAAGUAAGACUAAUACCCUAUAAUUUCCUCAGAUGUCAUCUGACGAGGAAUAAAGAUUUAUCGGUUGUGGAUGGGGAUGCGUCUGAUUAGCUUGUUGGCGGGGUAAAGGCCCACCAAGGCAACGAUCAGUAGGGGCUCUGAGAGGAAGGUCCCCCACAUUGGAACUGAGACACGGUCCAAACUCCUACGGGAGGCAGCAGUGAGGAAUAUUGGUCAAUGGGCGGAAGCCUGAACCAGCCAAGUAGCGUGCAGGAUGACGGCCCUAUGGGUUGUAAACUGCUUUUAUACAGGAAUAAAGUUAGCCACGUGUGGUUAUUUGUAGGUACUGUAUGAAUAAGGACCGGCUAAUUCCGUGCCAGCAGCCGCGGUAA
rnacentral:rRNA from 1 species